rnacentral:rRNA from 1 species
CACACCGCCCGUCACACCACGAAAGCCGGCUGUACCAGAAGUCGCUGCGCCAACCGCAAGGAGGCAGGCGCCGAAGGUAUGGUCGGUGAUUGGGGUG